rnacentral:lncRNA from 1 species
UCAUACGCGUUCGGGGACCGGUCUCUCCACCAGGGACCGGUCCCCGAGAGCUCAAAAUCUGCAGUUUGCAGAAUUUGAUUCUUUAGCUCUAGAAAACCUUCCACAACGCACUUUUACCCAUUUUAACACCUUCGGACUUUCCGAAGUGUACCAUCCUCGCACUUUGGUCAAUUUGACUAAAGUUCGAUAUUUAUUUUUCGAAUUUUCGGUAUAUUACAUUCUCCACCCCUUAAAAAUAAUUUCGUCCGCGAAAUUACGCAUAUCUUAACUCGUCGAUUCAAAUAGAUGCGGAUACUCUCUCCGCAUUGACUCCUCGAGCUCCCAAGUGGCUUCUC